rnacentral:rRNA from 1 species
UACGAGGGGGGCGAGCGUUGUUCGGAAUUAUUGGGCGUAAAGGGUGCGUAGGCGGCCUGACAAGUCUGAUGUGAAAUCCCUGGGCUCAACCCAGGGCCUGCAUCGGAAACUGUCGGGCUUGAGUAUGGGAGAGGUGAGUGGAAUUUCCGGUGUAGCGGUGAAAUUCGUAGAUAUCGGGAGGAACACCAGUGGCGAAGGCGGCGACCUGGACGGACAUUGACGCUGAGACGCGAAAGCGUGGGGAGCAAACAGG